rnacentral:rRNA from 1 species
GACGAACGCUGGCGGCGUGCUUAACACAUGCAAGUCGAACGGAAAGGCCCUGCUUUUGUGGGGUGCUCGAGUGGCGAACGGGUGAGUAACACGUGAGUAACCUGCCCUUGACUUUGGGAUAACUUCAGGAAACUGGGGCUAAUACCGGAUAGGAGCUCCUGCUGCAUGGUGGGGGUUGGAAAGUUUCGGUGGUGGGGGAUGGACUCGCGGCUUAUCAGCUUGUUGGUGGGGUAGUGGCUUACCAAGGCUUUGACGGGUAGCCGGCCUGAGAGGGUGACCGGCCAAAGUGGGAGUGAGAUACGGCCCAGACUACUACGGGAGGCAGCAGUGGGGAAUAUUGUACAAUGGGCGGAAGCCUGAUGCAGCAACGCCGCGUGCGGGAUGACGGCCUUCGGGUUGUAAACCGCUUUCGCCUGUGACGAAGCGUGAGUGACGGUAAUGGGUAAAGAAGCACCGGCUAACUACGUG